rnacentral:rRNA from 1 species
ACGGUGAAACCGCAGAUGGCUCAUUAAAUCAGCUAUGGUUCCUUAGAUCUUACAUCCUUACUUGGAUAACUGUGGUAAUUCUAGAGCUAAUACAUGCCGUCAGGCCUAACUCGCAAGAGUAUGGUGGAUUUAUUAGAACAAAAUCAACCGUUUAAUGACGUUGGUUUGAUGACUCUGGAUAACUUUGCUGAUCGCACGGCCUUAGCGCCAGCGACGUAUCUUUCAAGUGUCUGCCCUAUCAACUUUGGAUGGUAGGUUACAUGCCUACCAUGGUUAUAACGGGUAACGGGGAAUCAGGGUUCGAUUCCGGAGAGGGAGCCUUAGAAACGGCUACCACAUCUAAGGAAGGCAGCAGGCGCGCAAAUUACCCACUCUCAGUCAGAGGAGGUAGUGACGAAAAAUAACAAUACGAGACUCUUUAAAGGCCUCGUAAUUGGAAUGAGUACAAUUUAAAUCGUUUAACGAGUACCAAUUGGAGGGCAAGUCUGGUGCCAGCAGCCGCGGUAACUCCAGCUCCAAUAGCAUAUAU